AGAGAGCUUGCUCUCGGGUGACGAGCGGCGGACGGGUGAGUAAUGUCUGGGAAACUGCCUGAUUUAGGGGGAUAACUACUGGAAACGGUAGCUAAUACCGCAUAACGUCGCAAGACCAAAGUGGGGGACCUUCGGGCCUCAUGCCAUCAGAUGUGCCCAGAUGGGAUUAGCUAGUAGGUGGGGUAACGGCUCACCUAGGCGACGAUCCCUAGCUGGUCUGAGAGGAUGACCAGCCACACUGGAACUGAGACACGGUCCAGACUCCUACGGGAGGCAGCAGUGGGGAAUAUUGCACAAUGGGCGCAAGCCUGAUGCAGCCAUGCCGCGUGUGUGAAGAAGGCCUUCGGGUUGUAAAGCACUUUCAGCGGGGAGGAAGGCGAUAAGGUUAAUAACCUUGUCGAUUGACGUUACCCGCAGAAGAAGCACCGGCUAACUCCGUGCCAGCAGCCGCGGUAAUACGGAGGGUGCAAGCGUUAAUCGGAAUUACUGGGCGUAAAGCGCACGCAGGCGGUCUGUCAAGUCGGAUGUGAAAUCCCCGGGCUCAACCUGGGAACUGCAUUCGAAACUGGCAGGCUAGAGUCUUGUAGAAGGGGGGUAGAAUUCCAGGUGUAGCGGUGAAAUGCNUAGAGAUCUGGAGGAAUACCGGUGGCGAAGGCGGCCCCCUGGACAAAGACUGACGCUCANGNNNGAANGCGGGGGAGCAANCAGGUUAGAUCCCNGGUAGUCCCCCCGUAAANGAUUUGAUUUGGAGGUUGUGCCCUUGAGGCGUGGCUUCCGGAGUUAACGCGUUAANUCGACCCCCUGGGGAGUACGGCCGCAAGGUUAAAACUCAAAUGAAUUGACGGGGGCCCGCACAAGCGGUGGAGCAUGUGGUUUAAUUCGAUGCAACGCGAAGAACCUUACCUGGUCUUGACAUCCACAGAACUUACCAGAGAUGNCUUGGUGCCUUCGGGAACUGUGAGACAGGUGCUGCAUGGCUGUCGUCAGCUCGUGUUGUGAAAUGU
rnacentral:rRNA from 1 species